AUACUGUGUGCUGCAGCUGUACACCAUGGGGUCGGCCUCAUAACUGCCACUGUGACUGCACACAAAUCCAAAGACAGAGACCAGUUACAGCAGAUCAAACAAGACCACUCACAUAGAUGCUUUGUGGGGACAUGGGGUCCUCGUGUUUGAAGGUAUUGUUGGGGAACGGAGGUGUGUGGUGUGAAGGUGUGUGACCGUAGCUGGGAGCUCCAUCAAAUGCUACUGUACCAUAACCUGUGAGAGAAAGAGAAAGAGACAAAACAAGAUAUGUCUAAUUUUGUUCUGGGCUUAGGCUCAGUCCCGAUGAAGAGUGUCAUACAGUGAUGAUGGUGUUGUGAAGUUCAGUCUGUCCUUCUGAGAUCACCCCUUCUUUACCUCUUCACCCAUGGACAUCUGGACUGUUGGUCUGAAAAUGUAUAAAUCCACUUUGUGAGAACUCUGGAGGUGUAUGACUGAGACAGACUCCAGCAGAGCCGAUUCCUCAAUCCAUGCAUCAUCUGUUUUAUAACAGCCAAAUAAAGGGGAAUUCCUCACUGGAGACUUGAAGACCAUGCCAAAAAGCAACGAGAUUUCGCAUGGCAUUUGUAUACAAAUGUCUUCAGCAGUGCUCUGCUCUUUGUAGCCUACAUGAUCAAAGUAACACUGUGACGGACUGGCCAUCCAUCCAGAGAGUCUCACUGUUUACGGCCCGAGACGCAG